rnacentral:lncRNA from 1 species
UCAUCACUAUCUUAGAUCUGUGAUUGGGAGAGAGAGAGAAAGAGAGUUGAGCCUCGACCAUUAUUGUUGUCGUCUCCGUCGUGUUGUUGUAAUUGAACGGAUCCGAGAAUUUUUGAGGACAGAUUGUUGUCGUUCAUCAUCACCACCACCAGCGUGUCAUCGGAGGUUACCACCACUAGUCCCCGGUUGUCAGCCGAUGUCACAUGAGCAGCCAUAGGCCCAUAGCCCAUCGACAAGUUCGUUAAGGGUAAGGAAACCCUAGUUUUAUUAUGUACCUUGCGCAGGAAGUUUCUGGUUUUGUCUUGUGAUCUGUUGCUAUGUCUUGCUUUCGAUUGUCGAGUCAUGAGAACCUAACGGCCGUGAGUUUGAACCGCCUCGUCAAGCCUCCAAACAGAUCCGUCGAGUGUAAACGCUGAGAGAGGUGAACGGCUUAAUCCGAGAGUCGUAUAUGUUGUUGUGUUGUGUUAUUUCUAUCAUUGAACCGAGAAUCUAAACCAUCUAAACCAAGGAAUCCUACGUCUAAUAAAGCACAGAAAACCGGAACGUAUUAUCGUGGUCACGUGAAGUGGAAAUUGUGGUGUUUUGGAAUUAUUGUUUUGGUAUUGUUCAUUGAACCGGAGUCGAUCAUGUGCUCAUGAAGUUGAAUUGUGGUGUUAUUAAAGUAUUAGAUAUUUUGGUG